UACAGAGGUCUCAGGCGUUGUUCGGAUUCAUUGGGCGUAAAGGGUGCGUAGGUGGCGCCGUAAGUCAGGUGUGAAAUCUCGGGGCUCAACCCCGAAACUGCACUUGAUACUGCGGUGCUCGAGUACUGGAGAGGAGAUUGGAAUUUACGGUGUAGCAGUGAAAUGCGUAGAUAUCGUAAGGAAGACCAGUGGCGAAGGCGAAUCUCUGGACAGUUACUGACACUGAGGCACGAAGGCCAGGGGAGCAAACGGG
rnacentral:rRNA from 1 species